GAUGAACGCUGGCGGCGUGCCUAAUACAUGCAAGUCGAGCGAACGGACGAGAAGCUUGCUUCUCUGAUGUUAGCGGCGGACGGGUGAGUAACACGUGGAUAACCUACCUAUAAGACUGGGAUAACUUCGGGAAACCGGAGCUAAUACCGGAUAAUAUUUUGAACCGCAUGGUUCAAAAGUGAAAGACGGUCUUGCUGUCACUUAUAGAUGGAUCCGCGCUGCAUUAGCUAGUUGGUAAGGUAACGGCUUACCAAGGCAACGAUGCAUAGCCGACCUGAGAGGGUGAUCGGCCACCCUGGAACUGAGACACGGUCCAGACUCCUACGGGAGGCAGCAGUAGGGAAUCUUCCGCAAUGGGCGGAAGCCUGACGGAGCAACGCCGCGUGAGUGAUGAAGGUCUUCGGAUCGUAAAACUCUGUUAUUAGGGAAGAACAUAUGUGUAAGUAACUGUGCACAUCUUGACGGUACCUAAUCAGAAAGCCACGGCUAACUACGUG
rnacentral:rRNA from 1 species